AAUACGUUGUGCGUCGAGGUUGAAUAAUGGUUAUACUGCUUAUAGGCGAUGAUAUAUAGUUAGUUUGAGUUGUAGACGCAGUAAACGAUUCAUCGUUCAAAUAACAAUUUAAUAUACAGGAAAAUGAACUAAAAAGAUUUCUAAAAACUUCACGUUCAGCAAGAUAUGCUGUUGAUAGACACACAAAGUCAUGAAUAACUCUUUUCUUGCUUGAGAAAGUUUUGUAGUCGUACCCUACUUUUGAAAUACACGAAUUAAAAACGGCUGCUAAACAUUUGGUUUACUAGAAUAUAAGAAGAUAACAGGCCCAUCAUUUUUUGAUAAAUAUCUCUGUAUUACUAGUACUGGACGAGUUAAGUAGCAGAUAAAAUAAUCAUUCAAAAGCUAUUCUAUUCCCAAAUUGCUAAUCAUGUCACACCAAUGAAAAAAAAAAUUUACGAAGCGCUCUAAUAAAAAAAUAAAUAUGCUUUCAUUUUUUGACUUAGGCCUUUACAAUGGACGAGAUUUUGACGAAAUCAAGUUAUAUAUUGCAGAGCUAAAAUCACAAAUGCAUAUAUGAUUUUCAUGUUAAAAUUGAACCCUUACCAGUGAAAAGGCAUCUCAAUAAUUAACAUUUGCAUUGAGAGCAUCGUUAGACAAACUAAGUAAACUUCAAACCAUUAUGGUGAAAAAAAAAACAAAUAUUAAUUACUGCUGAAAGGCGCUAUUUAAAUGGCGUGGAUAAUCUUAGUUCUGUAAAAUCAGAAGAAACCAUUUUGGUAGUUUUUUACACAAUAUAAUUUUAUCUCAUCCUUUCAAUCAACCAAGAACUAUUUUGUUCAUUGUUUUACUAUUUCUACGCUCGAACAGACCACAAAUACUUGUCAUACGGAUAAAUAGAGCAUAUAGUAUUUUUUACAACUUAUACAACUGUUACACUACAAAUUCGCAUAAAAACUGUUAUCGCUUAAAAAAUCCAAGCAUCAUAUUUUUGAACCUUUUCAAAGGUGAAUAAACCUUCUAUUCUUAACGUUGAUAAGACCAGACACCCUCCAACAAUCCGUCUUGGGUGGUAAGGCGGUUAAUGCAGUCAUCGGACUCGCCCUUGGAGCGAACAAAGCCACUAAUAGCAUAGGUGGUCUUCUCGCCAGGAAUUUGGCGACCUUCAGCGUCAACAGCGCAAACGUUGAUUUGCACAGAAGCGUGAUCUUUGGCUUGGAUGAUGCGGUUAGUGGCAGAGCUAUUUCUAAUUAGUAACAGUUACACAACUUCUUAUUACAAAAACUUUCUUACCACUUGCGAGGGACGUAAAGGUCAACCAAUUGUCCAGCCUCGUUUUCCAUGUUUGAAAAAGUUGAGUUGCCCUUUAGCAUCUUAGAAUUUUGAUGCACUUCGGUCUGACAGUCACAACCCUACCCUGGCUAACUUUCUUUAGUCCCGUUAUUGCA